UUCAACUUUAUCAAAAUUUCAUCUAAUUCAUAAUAAUUUUUCUUACUCAGUCGAGUCUCGACAUUUCCGAGGUGCACACCCAAUCUACAAAAUCUCUCUCUAUUUUGCUCAUAAGCCUCACUCUAUAAGCUUUGAAUUUUCCCAGAAUUGUAAGUUCUAUACUUUUUGGAGUGAGAUUUGAAGAAUCCCAAUUGACAAAAAGGCAAUCUUUUGCGAUUGGGAUUUUAAAUUAUGGUUGAAUUUUCAACUGUUUAAGAUCUGGGUGUGUCUUUAGAAUUUUCAAAGGGAAGAGGAUGUAUGCUGUGGGGAGACUAGGUAGCUAUAUAUCUCGUGGUGUUUAUACUGUGUUUGGUCCAUUUCAUCCCUUUGGUGGUGCUGUUGAUAUAAUUGUAGUUGAACAACCUGAUGGGACCUUGAAAACAUCACCUUGGUAUGUUCGGUUUGGUAAAUUUCAAGGGGUUUUAAAGACGAGGGAAAAGGUUGUUAGUAUCUGUGCUAAUGGAAUCGAAGCCAAUUUCCAUAUGUUUCUUGAUCAUAAAGGGAAGCAUAUUUUUUAAGGGAAGUAGAUGGUGAAGAAGGGGAAUCUGAAGGUGUUCUAUUUCCUUUUCCUUCGGGAUAUGAUACGGAUGAGCCUAUGUCUGGUAAAAGAAUGCCAAUGAAGACUAAAAGUUGUAACUAUGAUGCUGAUAGGUCUAAUUCCGCGGGUGAAGUUGAUGUGAGUAAUGGGAAGAUUUUGGCUAGGACUACUUCUCGGAGGUCACGGAUAUUUGGACUUGUUUUUGGACGGAGGUCGAUGAAGGAGGAUGGUUACCAGGAAGCUAUAUGUGCUGCUGAUGUAAUGAGGUUAGAUCCAUUGGAGCGUGCUGAAAUUGCUGCUGACUUGUUGGAGGUGAAGUGUUCUACUAAUCUUAUAUCUAAUAGAUCAAAUACUAAUGGUUCUGGAUUACCUUCCACGAAUGAUGCAUUGGAUAAUAAAGGCUACGAAGAGCAUACACUGAUUACUCGUGAAGAAAACCAGUUUCAAUCUUCAGUACAUGAUGAGGAGGGAAAGAAUAAUGUUGAAGAAAACCAGUUUCACUCUGCAGUAUAUCAUGAGGAAAAUGGUGUUGGUCACCAGACAUUACUAGAGGAAACUGAAUGCUGCAAUGAGCAAAAUGGGUUGGAGCUUUUGGAUGAGAUUAGAAGUUCUGAGAUUUUGCUAACAGAGUUGUGUAUAAUACAUUGAUUUCAAGUUUUUAUAAGGAAGGUAAAACUGGUGAUGUUGAAAGUUGGUGGAAAGAAUGAGAGAGGACGGUGUAAGGGAUGUUCAUAAUUAAACCCUAUAAACUUUGAAGAAUUAAACAGUCACUUGCUCAUUUUCCAUAUUCAUAAUCAAUAUUCUCACAUUAUUGUGCAUAUCUAUUUCUUUCUCUGCUUAUUAUUUAUUUUACUUUUUGGUGCAGCUGACAUGCAAGCAGCAACCUCUAAUGUUCUACCAACUUUAUCUCUGGAUGUUAAUAGAAGCUUUCUGCAAGGCAAGUGAUUUUGGAGUAGCGAAGGAGCUUGAAAAGAUUGGUCUAUAUGUGGUCACAAAGAGCUUACAUACAGUUUCUAGUACCCUCACACACAAACAAAUGAACUCAGGUAGUUAUUAUUUUCUUAGCUAAGAACAAGAUCAGAAGGCUGUAAAACUAGUUGUAGAUCAUUAAUUCAUGAUUGAUUUUUACUUUCCUUCAUGUUUUCUAUUGGACCUUGUGCAAUUUGUAGGAGUCACUCAAUUAGUGCUCUAUGCAAAGCAGGAAAGAUAGAUGAAGCUAAAAAUAUUUCUACCGUUAUCUAAUAAAAUCCUAAUAUUUCUACCUUCA